UUUCUGUCAAGAACAGUUUGAAAAUGCGAAAUAUAUUCGAAUAAAAAAAUUAUCAACAAAAGUUGAUAUGUAUAGUAAUUACACACAAACACUCAAAGUAGUCGUCACCAUCAAAAUUGCCAUGUGCAGUGUAAAUAUCUGAUAUAUGUUGCUAUAUUAUCUGUCGAUAGUAUAAUUUUGAAAUCUGCAUAAUUGGAAAACUUUCCAGUGACAUUGGCUACUGGUACAUCUGCAUUCUUUAACGCAUCAGGAUAUAUGUAAUUAAUUGGCGCGAUUAAGGAUCCAGAUUUAUUCGUGAGA